rnacentral:lncRNA from 1 species
UUGAGGUUAACGGGAGGAGGUAUGGAUCUGGAAAAAAGAGGAAGGAUCGGGGAAAGGGGAAGCGGGAGGCAGACGGACGUACGGGAAAAAAUGGGAGGAUCGGAUGACGACGUACAAAAAAACAACAUAUCGAAUAUUGGCACACUAAUUAGGAGUAUUAAAUAUAGUAUAAUGAUAAAAUUAAUUGCUAAUUCAUUAGACGAAUUUAUUAAACCUAGUUCAUGAUUAGCCUAUGUGAUGCUAUAGUAAACAUGUGCUAAUUAAGAGUUAAUUAGACUUAAUAGAUUCGUCUCACAAAUUAACCAAUUAGUUUUAUCAUUAACUUAUAUUUAAUACUUGUAAUUAGUGGCCAAACAACUGAUGUG